UACGGAGGGGGCGAGCGUUAUUCGGAAUUAUUGGGCGUAAAGGGCGCGUAGGCGGCUUGAUAAGUCAAAGGUGAAAUCCCUCGGCUCAACUGAGGAACUGCCUUUGAAACUGUCAGACUUGAGGCCGGGAGGGGGUAGCGGAAUUCCCAGUGUAGCGGUGAAAUGCGUAGAUACUGGGAGGAACACCGGUGGCGAAGGCGGCUACCUGGACCGGUUCUGACGCUGAGGCGCGAAAGCGUGGGUAGCAAACAGG
rnacentral:rRNA from 1 species